UUUACAGGUCUGGCAAUUGGAAUGAGAACAAUUUAAAUCCCUUAUCGAGUAUCAAUUGGAGGGCAAGUCUGGUGCCAGCAGCCGCGGUAAUUCCAGCUCCAAUAGCGUAUAUUAAAGUUGUUGCAGUUAAAAAGCUCGUAGUUGGAUUUGUGGUGUGUCCAGUCGGCCUUUGCUCUCUGAGUGAUUGCGAUGCACUGGUCUGCCAUGUUUGGGUGGAAUCUGUGUGGCAUUAAGUUGUCGUGCAGGGGAUGCCCAUCGUUUACUGUGAAAAAAUUAGAGUGUUCAAAGCAGGCUUAUGCCGUUGAAUAUAUUAGCAUGGAAUAAUAAGAUAGGACUUCGGAACUAUUUUGUUGGUUUGCGUUACGAAGUAAUGAUUAAUAGGGACAGUUGGGGGUAUUCGUAUUUCGUUGUCAGAGGUGAAAUUCUUGGAUUCCCGAAAGACGAACUACUGCGAAAGCAUUUACCAAGGAUGUUUUCAUUAAUCAAGAACGAAAGUUAGGGGAUCGAAGAUGAUUAGAUACCAUCGUAGUCUUAACCAUAAACCAUGCCGACUAGGGAUU
rnacentral:rRNA from 1 species